GACAGGGAUGUCCGUGGUUCCAUGCAGCAGCGAGUUUGCCCCGCAAACUCGACGUUGAACAGUGUACACGGACGUACACUGUUCAACAG
rnacentral:sRNA from 1 species